GAACUUGGUGCAAAGGUAGCCCUAUGUAGAGCACAUUGCAGAAGUCUAACCUUGAGGUUACCACCACAUGCACUACCAUCUUAAGGUCC
rnacentral:snoRNA from 11 species